rnacentral:rRNA from 1 species
UACAGAGGGGGCAAGCGUUGUUCGGAAUUACUGGGCGUAAAGGGCGCGUAGGCGGCCUGCUAAGUCGAACGUGAAAUCCCCGGGCUCAACCCGGGAACUGCGUCCGAUACUGGUUGGCUUGAAUCCGGGAGAGGGAUGCGGAAUUCCAGGUGUAGCGGUGAAAUGCGUAGAUAUCUGGAGGAACACCGGUGGCGAAGGCAGCCCCCUGGGUCAAGAUUGACGCUCAUGCACGAAAGCGUGGGGAGCAAACAGG